GACGGAGGGGGCAAGCGUUGUCCGGAAUCACUGGGCGUAAAGAGCACGUAGGUGGUCUGAUGCGUCGGCGCUGAAAACUCCAGGCUCAACUUGGAGACGCGUGCCGAUACGAUCAGACUAGAGGCAGGGAGAGGGUAGCGGAAUUCCGGGUGUAGUGGUGAAAUGCGUAGAGAUCCGGAGGAACGCCAGUAGCGCAAGCGGCUACCUGGCCCUGACCUGACACUGAGGUGCGAAAGCGUGGGGAGCGAACCGGAUUAGAUACCCGGGUAGUCCACGCCGUAAACGAUGCCGACUCGUUCUUCGUCUGCCGUUCAGGUGGAUGAGGGGCCUAGCUUACGCGGUAAGUCGGCCGCCUGGGAAGUACGAGCACAAGCUUAAA
rnacentral:rRNA from 1 species